UAUAUAUAUAUGUAUACCACAACUUCUGUAUCCAUUCAUCCAUUGAUGAAUGUAUAUCUUCUCUGUGGUAUGUAGAGGCCUCAGUGAGUGAAGAUGUCAUCAUUGAUCAUUGUUUCCCCACCAUCUAAUUCAUCUUAAGCACUGUUGGAGGAACUGCUCGGGUGUGGAUGUAAACAAUGGACAGCAACACUGCAAGUCCUGCAUUCCUGUGAUUAAGAGCAGUGGUUCCCAUAAAGAUAGAGGCAUAGACAGAGUUCAUCUUCAUUUUAGCCGUGGUUAAACCUUUUACUGCAUGUGCUAUUUGAUCAUGAUCCAGAUAUAUGGGUGUCUGGAACUCGAGACUUCCAUUGCUUUGGGCCAUGGGGAUUUGUGGUAUUUAUGUUUCUGUUUAACAUCAGUUGAAAGGAUUUGAAAAUGAUUUUUCAUUCAGCGUAUCAUUUUGCUGCUCUUCUACUGAGUGACGUGAUUUGUACCCCAUGGAAUCUUCAAGUUUCUCCCAGUCUGAGGAAGGGUUCUGGUCAUUUGCACAGUUGUAGCCCAUCAUGGGUUUCCUGUGAGUAGAAUAAUAUCUGUGCAAGUUCAAUGUGAUUUCCUGGUUAAAACACUAAAAAGAGCUCUGAAUGUUUAGAGGGUAAUGAUCCAAGGAAUAACUGAGGUGAGCUGUAGACACACAGUGUCAUUUUAUUUAUUUAUUUAUUUUUAAUUUUAUUUAUUAUUUUUUUUGUGAGGAAGAUCAGUCCUGAACUAACAUCCAAUGCCAAUCCUCCUCUUUUUUACUGAGGAAGACUGGCCCUGGGCCAACAUCCAUGCCCAUCUUCCUCUACUUUAUAUGGGAUGCCGCCACAGCAUGGCCUGACAAGCGGUGAGUUGGUGCACACCUGGGAUCCGAACCUGCGAACCCCGGGCCCCCGAAGCGGAGCGUGCGCACUUAACCACUCCGCCACUGAGCCGGCCCCACACAGCAUCAUUUAGAGUAAUAUCCUGUGUGGUGGCAAAGGAGGUAAAUUUGACAUCCUCAACCUGGGAAAUUUCCUAUGCUUUUUCGUAAGAGGAGUAGCUGGGAGGUUUUUGUUUCAAUGAUGCAUACAGCCCCCAAAGCCCAUUUUUGCUGUUUUUGGGGAUCAUAUCCAUAUGUUUACAUUUCCAGGAGAUGAUAUGGAUGACGGGGUAAAACAUGACAGCUUUUGUUUCAUUAAACAACAAUGGAAAUCCAAACUUCUUCCUUUUUUCAGAGCUAAUUUACGUUUUCUUAGCAUUGUAGAGAUUACGUGAUUUUAUAAUUAUUGAUCCCCUGCCCCCAUCCUUCCACCCAUGUUGCAGAUGAAGAAAGUUAAGCAUGGGGUCUUUCCCAAAUUGACAUAGCCCGUAACUGUGGAAUCUCUUAGUUUUGAAGGCAUAAUGUGUGCCCUUUCCUGGGCAAUGUCAAAAAUUUCAAACCCACAGUAACACUGCAAGGUUUGUAUAAUUAUGCCCUUUUACAAAAGUGGCAUCAAAGUUUCCAAACAGGACUUGUAAGGUGACAUGGUGUUCCACUUACAUGACAUUCAGGAAGGGCAAAGGUAUAGGAACCUAAAACAGAUCGGUUCUUUUUUUUUUUUUUUGUGAGGAAGAUCGGCCCUGAGCUAACAUCCAUGCUAAUCCUCCUCUUUUUUUUUUUUUUUUGCUGAGGAAGACCGGCUCUGAGCUAACAUCUAUUGCCAAUCCUCCUCCUUAUUUUCCCCUAAAGCCCCAGCAGAUAGUUGUAUGUCAUAGUUGCACAUCCUUCCAGUUGCUGUAUGUGGGACACAGCCUCAGCAUGGCCAGAGAAGCAGUGCGUGGUUGUGCGCCCGGGAUCCGAACCUGGGCCCCCAACAGCGGAGCGCGUGCACUUAACCGCUAAGCCACGGGGCCGGCCCCCGGUUCUUAAUGGUGGGAGGGUUCAGUACCAAUGGGCACCAUGAGAGUGUUCCUUUGGGUAAUGGAGUCUUCUCCGUCCUGAUGGUGGUAUAACUAUACGUUUGUGAAAAUGCACAACUGCUCUUAAUAUAGUAUGUGUAUAUACUAAAAACAAAUAAUAGAAAACAACAAAAGGUUUUCACAUCUAGGAGAAUGUUAAACGCUCCUGACCUUGGAUUGCUACGUGUGCAACACUUGCUUCCACCAGCUUGGGUUCCUCUUAGGAAGAUAUGGAAGGACUUGGGAAGAAGGACAUAGGCUACUAUAGACUUUUCUUGGUACCCAGUCUGAAGUUAGAAAACUCCCUCUAAGACUACAUCUGCCCUCAUGUCAUUCUCAUAACUGAUGUUUUGACAUCUUGGGGGGCCUCUCAGACAUAGGGAGACACUGCCCCUCCCAGGGGGACCUACUUCCAUGUUGGCAGUGGACAGCUUGUCUGGAGCAGGCCUUUCAUGUGCACACCACCCAGUCCAGUGCCCUGUCCCUACAGACCUCCUUAUCCACCUCUCACACACCAAGACAAUAUCUCCCCUGCCCUAAACCAACCCAGGGCCAGGAACCAGAUGACUAAGGACCAUCUCUAUGCCGCAAAGGCUGCUGGAAGUGUUCAAAGUAGCUAAUCCUUAGCUGCUCACUCUGCCCUGACUUAACAUUUCCUGUGUAACCCCAGAUGAAGGCUGUGGCCUAGGUUUUUGUCAAACUCCUGAUUCUGCCUCCUGAGCAAACCUGAUGCAUCCCCUGUGACCCUGCCUGGCAUGGCAUGCCCCCUUAUCUUGGGAAGUGUAAGUAAUAAAAAUCUUUAAAUGAU